UUUGUUCGCAGGCGCGCUGCUGCGGACCGGCGCUGGCCUUUGUCUGUCCGUGGGCUUGCACGGCUGUGGUGAGUGAGGCUGCUGGCAGGUCAGGGCACCCAGGUGAGCCAGGGCCAGGCUGGCAGGCGGCCCCCGGGGCCCCCUGCUGCCCCCACGACCCUGAGCAGGGCAAGCCUGCCCCGCUGCAAAGGAGGCCGGCCGCAAGGGGAGACGUCUGCGGCUGCAGGAAGCGUCCAGCUGGACCGGAGGAGGUCCCAGAGACAGCAGUCACCCCUCCUUCUCAUCCUCUCCUUGAGGGCUGUCAACUUCAGGCCUUAAAUCAUAGGGACAGAGUCCAACCUCAGGCAGCAGGUGCCAGGGGCUUUCCACUGACUCUUGGUGAAUGUGCAGUUGUUGAGCAGUGACACCUGGGACUUCCAAGUUAAUGUCCUGUAGUAUCAGGGAUUCCUUUGCAGCUUGUAUUCCCAGUUUUAGGUGCUCAAGAACAGCCUAUGGAAGCAGCAUAUGAAGAGGCGGUGAUUAAGGUCAUACAGCAGGAGUGGACAUGUUUGGAUUUCCAACAGCUACCCUGCUGGACUGUCAUGGACGAUAUGCCCAGAAUGUAGCAUUCUUCAAUGUGAUGACAGAAGCCCACCACAAAUAUGAUCACACUGAGGCCACAGGAUCCUCAAGCUGGGACUUCCAGAAUUCUUUCAGAAGAGAGAAGCUGGAACAAAAAUCCCCAGAUUUUAAGGCACUACAGGAAGAUUCACCUGGUGUGAGACAGAGGGUCUAUGAGUGCCAGGAAUGUGGGAAAUCCUUCAGGCAAAAGGGUAGCCUAACGUUACAUGAGAGAAUCCACACUGGUCAAAAGCCCUUUGAGUGUACCCAUUGUGGAAAAAGCUUCAGGGCCAAAGGCAAUCUUGUUACACAUCAGCGAAUACACACAGGAGAGAAGCCUUAUCAGUGCAAGGAGUGUGGGAAAAGUUUCAGUCAACGAGGUAGUCUGGCUGUUCAUGAAAGACUCCAUACUGGACAGAAACCCUACGAGUGUGCAAUCUGUCAGAGAAGUUUCAGGAAUCAGAGUAACCUUGCUGUUCAUAGAAGAGUUCACAGUGGCGAGAAGCCCUAUAGAUGUGAUCAGUGUGGAAAAGCCUUCAGUCAGAAAGGAAGCUUAAUUGUCCACAUCAGGGUCCACACAGGCCUGAAACCAUAUGCCUGUGUACAGUGCAGAAAGAGUUUCCAUACCAGAGGAAAUUGCAUACUGCAUGGCAAAAUCCACACAGGAGAGACACCAUAUCUAUGUGGCCAAUGUGGGAAAAGCUUCACUCAGAGAGGGAGUCUGGCUGUGCACCAGCGAAGCUGCUCACAAAGACUCACCCUUUGACCACAUUCUUCAACAGGAAUUCUCUUUAUUAAUUAACUACAAAAUCUUCUGAGAUCAAGCCACCUACCCAAUUCUAUGGAGUGAAUGGAGACUCUUUCAGAAAGACUAUCAUUAGGUAGGGCAAACUGACUUUUCCCAUUUCUUCCAAAUGAGUAUGAAAAAUAAAUGUCUUGUUUAUUAUCAUUA